CGAGGAAUGGCAGGCGACUCUCCCUUGGCAAACGGAUGAUGAUCACUAUUCACCAUGCAAAUUAAUGCAUAAUCUGCUUUGCCAAAGGAGAAUUGCCCUGCCAUUUCUAA
rnacentral:pre_miRNA from 1 species